rnacentral:rRNA from 1 species
CGUGGAGCGAUUUGUCUGGUUUAUUCCGAUAACGAGCGAGACUCUAGCCUACUAACUAGUCAGUACAUUGCCUCUGUGUGCGCGGCUUCUUAGAGGGAUUUUCGGUGUUCAGCCGCACGAAAUUGAGCAAUAACAGGUCUGUGAUGCCCUUAGAUGUCCGGGGCUGCACGCGCGCUACACUGGCAAAAUCAGCGUGCUUGUCCUUCCCCGAAAGGGGUUGGUAAACCCUUGAAAAUUUGCCGUGAUUGGGAUCGGAAAUUGCAAUUAUUUUCCGUGAACGAGGAAUUCCAAGUAAGUGCGAGUCAUCAACUCGCUUUGAAUACGUCCCUGCCCUUUGUAC